UUACGGCUAUAUCACGUUGAAACACCGGUUCUCGUAAAUCACCGAAGUUAAGCAACGUCGAGCCUGGUCAGUUCCUAGUUGACUGACCACUUGGGAAUACCAGGUACUGUAAG